UACGGCGCAGGCAGCAGUGGGGAAUAUUGGGCAAUGGGCGAAAGCCUGACCCAGCGACGCCGCGUGAGGGAAGAAGGUCUUCGGAUUGUAAACCUCUUUCAGCAAGGAAGAAGGAAGUGACGGUACUUGCAGAAGAAGCCACGGCUAACUACGUGCCAGCAGCCGCGGUAAU
rnacentral:rRNA from 1 species